AAUAACAUUUUGUCCAGGAGACUGUACUUAAAACAGACUUGAACUUCAGGACAUUAAAUAUGAAACCACGGCUCUUUGUUUGUGAUUUCUGUCUGGCUCCAAUUGGUGAGACUUUCAAGAAUUUCAUAUUGAAUUUCAAACAUCUCAGGAAUCAUAAAUUACACAGGUAUCUGCAUACAUGACCAUGUUAUAUGAAUCUGCAUAAACCAGGUUAGUUCAUGAUAGUUUUCUCAAAAAACUGUGUGUGUGUGUGUGUGUGUGUGUGUGUGUGUGUAUUAAACUUGAGCUUGAGCUUCAAACUUAGACGUUUGACCAAAGUACUAAUAGCAUUUCCCCCUGGGUUAAAAUUAAUAAUCCCCUCUACCAACAUUAUUUUUUGUCUAAAAAAAAUCUGAGAUGAUAUCAGAAAAUACCAUACAUAUUCCCUCAACCUCUGCCCAACAGUUCAUAUAACUGCUGAGGUUGCUUAAAAGCUGCAAUUGCUUGGAUGUGCUUUGUCCCCCCAAAAUCAGUUGAAAACUCAAUUGCUAGCAUAAUGGUAUUGCGUGGUUGGGACCUUUAAAAGGCAUAGUCUUCAUAAAGGGAUCAGUAUAGCUCCUACCAACCGGAAAUAGUUACCACAGGUUAGCCUAAGGCUGUUGACUCCUUUUCCACCUUCUUACCCACCAUAUGAUAAUACUAGGUCCUCGCCAGAUGGGACAAAUGAAACUGUUUUCUUUAUAAAUUAACUAAUCUCAAGUAUCUGGUGAUAACACAGAAGACUAAGACACAGCCACUUAAAAUCACUUGCUUAAUUUAGCUUCUUUGUUUAUUUUUUAAAAUAUAUGACUGGUCCAACAGUUCUUAUUUCAAGAAGUAUCAAAUAUUUUAAUUAUAAGCUUUAGAUUUUAUUAUAGAUCUUGACUAAAAGCAAUAACUGUUUUGGAACUUGACUGUGUACCUCCAAAAUAUUGACAGUGUAUAUUUAAUGCAUUGGGGCUGAUCUUUAGCUUCUUCAUUUUUAACUCUUUGCUUUUAAUAAUGAAUCAGUUGUAAAAUAUAGUUUCAAACAUAUCACUCAAGUAGUUAUCUGAAUUUCUCACCUUGUGCUGUGAAAAUAGAAAUUAAGAUCAAAAAGAAAAUAAUUUAUUUCCUUAUAAUUCUUAAAUAGAAAUCUGUUUUGGUGUUGCAGUUUUCAAGUUAUCCUUUCUAUAAAAAAAUGUUUAAAAAUAAUGGUUUACACUUCCAGUGGCACCAUAAACUUUCAUCACACAGUGAUGUGAUCGAAAUAAUUGGCAGAAAAAAAAUCAACAUUAAAGCUAAAAACAUGUGAGACGAGCCCGUCAAAUGGAAGUGAAAAAGAUCUGACCUACAUUAGUGGUAGCUGCCUAUGCUGCGAAAAAUCACCACUGUCCAGGGCAACAGAAUCUUCAUAGAAAAACAUAUCCCAAAUUACAAAGGUUCCCAACCAGCUUAAGAGACAACCCAGUUUAUGCUGGAACCUUUGUUUAUAUAAAUCAUUCAGUAGCAGUAAAAAAUAUGUAAAUUGCACAUAUAGAUGUAAGGACACGUGAUAACAUACAAACUCACGUGAAAGGACACGAUUUAUGUCAACGACAUGAUUCGGUGCUUUUGAAGUUUUGCAUAAGCAAGACGUUUUAAAUUUUAUAUUUAUUUUAUUUUUAGUUAUAUUUGGGCAUGUGUAUCUGUGCGUGUCUGUAUUUGUGUGAGUGGAGGUGACCUCAGAGGCCAAAGGCAACAUGAUCCCCUAGAGCUGGAGUUACAGAUAGUUACGAGUUGGUUAAUAUGGGUGUUGAGAUAUAAGCUCUGAUCCUCUGCAAGAGCAGCAAAUGCUCUUAACCACCAAGCCACUGGCUCUCAGUCUUCAUAACCCUGUAACUUUUUAAUACAGUUCCUCAUGUGGUGAGCCUCAACCAUAAAAUUAUUUUUGUACUACUCCAUAAGUAUAAUUUUGCUACUAUUAUAAAUCAUAUUGUAAAUACCUGUGUUUUCUGAUGGUCCUAGGAGACCCCUGUGAAAGGGUCUUUCAGCCCUCCAAAGGGGUUGUGACCCACAGGUUGAGAACUACCACACUAAGCCAUCUCUCUCCAGCCCUAAGGGAAACAUUUUUUUUUCUUUUUUCUUUUUUUCGGAGCUGGGGACCGAACCCAGGGCCUUGCGCUUGCUAGGCAAAUGCUCUACCACUGAGCUAAAUCCACAACCCCAGGGAAACAUUUUUAAACUAAGCUUUUUAGCAGUUUCAGCUUUCUGAGGAGAUGUCUGUAAGAGCUUAGUAAAAAAACCCAGUAAAAGCUACUAACUCCUUUAUUUCUUGGAUUAUAAUACCAUGGAAGUUAUAAUCUAAAUUAUUUAUUCCAAUGCACUGCCUGUUUUCUGUAUUUCAUAAAGUUAAAAGGCAACAAAUUCGCCUUUAUAAAGUAUUACCACUCUGUAUUAAUUUUUAAAUUAAUGUAAAUAACUGUUAGAGCCUUAUCAAUACACUUGAGUUAUUUUGAUUAUAUUUAUGUUACAAACUUCAACUUUGUCUGCCACUCUGAAGCCAUCCGCUUUAACAGAAUGCUGUCUUGAAUGAAUUCUGCGUUAUUUGCGAUUAUUUGGUUGUGAAAGUUAACUUAAAAUGCGUGCGUACAGAAGUACAGCUAAGCCCCAGGUCAGCCAGACCUGGAAGCCCAGAUGCUUCCUGCCUCAAAUCCUGACUUCUGUCUUCUGACUUCUGCCUGUCACUUGUCUGUUGCUUGAUCACCACACACUGAUGGCCUCUCUGUGGCUGAAAAAAGGCCUCAAGACAUUGAAAGCUUUACCAUGUGUAAGUUUAGACAGCUUUCUGGGUCCCAAGACUAUAAAUUCCUCCAAAGUGAGGAGUCUUUAUUUCAACUUAAGUGGGCUGGCCUGUUCUAGUCAGGAGACCAAAUAUAAAUUUGUCUGAUGUUUCAGAGUAGUGGCCCUGUGAUCAUGGAAGGGUGAAGGUAGAUGUUGCACCAUUAUUAGGCAAUUAUUUUUAAUCACUGUGAACAAAAUGUCUGAUAGGAACAAGAGAAUAGAGUUUUGUUUUGGGUCAAGAAUCAGAGGUUUCACCCCACAUUUGCUUGGUCCCAGAACUUCAUGGUGAGAAGGUUCUCUACUUGUAACACACAAGAAAAGACACAGACAGAAAGGGGCCAGGGACAAAGUGCCAUUCAGGGCCUGUUUCCAGUUACUUGCUUCCUCCAACUAGAUUUCCCACCAUCUGAAGUUCCCGGAACCUCCCAAGAUAGUCCCACAGGGUACAGCACGAGAGUCAUUAGGAGACACUUCCUAUUCACUCUGUAGCAACCCCAUGUGACCCAUAUUGUUGAACUCCGUAAGAGAGAAGAGAGUCGCCAGAAAGAAGUUGUUGCACAGAAAAGGCUUAAGUGGUAGCUAGCAAGGUUCUCUUCUGGACAUCGGUCUCAGCACGACUCUUCCGAGAGCUUUUCUCUCAGCACACAUCAUAGAGGUUCCCUUAGAGCAGACACCUGAAACGGUGAAACUAUUCUGUUCUUGUCGUCAUAUAGUAGCUAGGAGCCAUGCGUGAAUGAAUACUUGAAAUGCGGCUAAAAUAAGUAAAAAAAAUUAAUUUGGUUUUACUCAAUUAAAAUGAAAAAAGUCACAUAUAAGUAGUAUAUUAGCCAAUAUUCUCCAGAAGAACAAAACAAUGUAUAUGUAUAAAUCUAUCUAUAGAUGGAUGGAUAGAUAGAUGAUAGAUAGAUAGAUGAUAGAUAGAUAGAUAGAUAGAUAGAUAGAUGGAUAGAUAGAUAGACAGACAGUGAGUAAAGAGGAUUUAUUAAGUCGGCUAAUAUGAAAGGGGUUGGGUAGUCCAACAAUCACUGUCUGUGCACCAUAGAAGCUGAUGAACCAGGAGCUGCUCAGCUCACAAAGCUGGCUGCCUCAGCAGUCCUAGCCUGCCUGGUGCCAAAAGCCUGAAAAGUUCCUGGAGAGUUGGUAUUCACUGCACAUUGGAAGGCCAGAGACACUGGAGCCUGCUGCUGAGGAAGCAGCAGGAGAGACGGAUGCACUCACUCCUCACUCAGGGCUGCGGGGAAGCAGGCAGGUAACACUUUCCCUCAGACCUCUUCAUAUCUGGACCACCUUUGAAAGGAACUGCAACUCUUUGAAGGGAAGCUCUUCCCCACUGAGUUAUUCUCUUUGAAAACACCCACACACGGAGUGUGUGUCUUAGCUGGUUCCUGAUCCAGUCAAGAUCCCAAUCAGAACUUGUCAUCAUGGUUAAUGUAUGCUUUAUUCUGCAGUAUAGCCCUAAAGCAGCAUAAAUGGCAAGGCAGUAUUCAGCAGGCUGCCAAGGAUUGUUUAGGGAUACUUGGUAAGAAGAAAGCAGUGGUAAUUUCCCAUGUGUGAAAGUGCUACCUGAUGACCUAAUACCUGGGAAUGAAUGCCGUGUGGAGGUAAAGACUGGGAAGCAAAGAAAAUAAAAAGUAAAUUAGAAUAAUUAUUUCUGUUGCCUCUACCAAGUGUUUUUACUGGGUUAUUACCAUUCUGUCAGUGUCAGAGUAAUAACCAAGGCCCAUCAUUUUAUUACCUUAGAUAAAAUGGUAGCUUUUCUGAUUUGUUUUUGGUUUUUUGCUUGUUUUUGUUUUGUUCUGUUUUGAAGCAGUGUCUUGCUGUGCAGCUAAACCCAGCCUGGAAUUCACUAUGCAACCUAGGCUGGUCUUAAAUGCUCAACUUUCAUGCCUCAGCCUCCUGAAUGAUGGAAUUAGAGAUUUGGAAAUCAGGCUCAAAGUCUUUCUUCCAGGCAAGUGUAGCAAUCGGGGCAGCACACAGAUUCUACCAAGGAAAGAAGAUGAACUAGCUCAGAAAGAGACUCGCUACCCUGCGCUCCCUGCUGUUGUAUCCUCCAUGCCUUUUAUGCAGACAGAAGGAACACCCACACUGCUCUUCCUUUCCCACUGUAAACAUGAAGUUAUUCCUGUGUAAUCUGGGUUGUAAUGUUCUCAUUGCUCAAGAGAGCUACUGCUAUUGGGCAACGGUGCAGAGCACCACAUUGCAGGUUGGUUUAUCUGUCUGUCUAUCUGGUUUGGCUAUCUAGUGACAGAUCCCCCCAAGCUUGGCACAUGCCAAAUGAGUGCUCUGUGCUAAGCCCCAACCUGGCCUCUACACUGCAGUUUUUUAAGAGAACAAUAGCCCAGCAUGGUCUGUCCUGUCAGCAUGAACAGAACUUCCAGACCAAUUUAACACAAAGUGAUCAAGAAACACAUGCUUAGUAGGAUAUAGGAUCCAGCAGCUAAAUGUUCUUAUUCAUAACAAAGUACAUUAUCUUGUUCCAGGCAAGAUAUUUAAAGCUUUUUUUCCCACAGCUGAAUGUUUCUAUGAUAAUGACAAGUGACAUUUAUAUAAUGAUUUUCACUGAAAGGCCAAAAAUGUACCAUAAACCUUUUAAAAUAAUAUAAAUAUGUCGCCCACAGUAAAUGUAGCCGCCUAUCACGCAGGAUACAAGAAGCAACGUUUUAGAAGCCCCCAAGAGGAUAUGUACAGAAAGGAAGUCAAAUUCUAUGCCUAAAAUAAAUUGAUAAUCUGGGUUAGAUGAGAAAAAAAUUAUUACGUGAUUAUGAAACAGUCAUUCAUUUCCCUUUGGCUUAUGUAACUACCAUGUGUGGGCCUCACUCCAUGAAGGUCAUAGGAAGCAAUAAGAGUUUACUGCUCAGAUCUAACAGGAAAAUAUGAACCAUUAUUCUUUAUAUAAAAGUAGAUACUUGGGGGCUAGAGAGAUGGCUCAGCAGUUAAGAGCAUUUACUGUUCUUGCAGAAGGACUGAGGAUUGGUCGCCAGCACCUACAUCAGGCAAUGCACAACCUCCUUUAAUUCCACCUUGCGGGGAUCCAAUGCCGCCUUCUCGACUCCACAGGCAUCUGCGCUCACAUAUACACAAACCCACAUGCACACAUGUGCACACACACACACACACACACACACACGUUUUAAUAUUUGUUUUGUGUCUGUGUAGGUAUAUGUUUGUGUGGUAGGAUACACACAUCACUGUGUGUGGAGCUCAGAGAACAGCCUGGAGUGUUGAUCCUCAACUUGUAGCUUGUUUGAGGCAGCAUCUCUCUUGCUGUUUUCUGGGAUUAUAGAGACUUGCCACAGCAUCUGGCCUUUAUAUGGCUCUUAGGGAUUCAGACUCAGGCUGUCAGGCUCAAGGGGCAACUGCUAAAUCUCUCCAAUGCUCAAUGUACUUUUUAAAGGGACGAAUAAAUUAUAGAAGCCUAGAUACUGUGGCCCUUCAUAUUACUAUUUAGUAAGCUUUGAUGUGAUGUUGUAAAAAUGUAAAAAUAUAAAAAUAAAAGAGUAAGGGUUGUCUUUUAUCCCGCUAGGUCCACACCCCAGUGCCCCAAGAUAUCUGCUAGAUAUCUUGGCGGAAACACAUCCCAGCCGCACACUUUCCUACACUCAAACCCUCACAUAAAAGAACACACAACACAAUAAUCUUAGAUCCAAUUGAUAAUAUAUAAUUGCCCACUUAAACAUACAAAGCCCGGUACCAUCCAUCCCUUAGGAACAUUAAUAACAACCUGUAAAUACACAGAGCAGAAUCUUAACGUCACCUGCCAUGGCUUCUCCCCUCUCUCUCCUGUCUCCUCCUUUCUCCUAAUCUCCUCCUCUUCCUUCAAACUUCUCUCCCGCCCAUCCUUCCUUCUCCUCCAAUGACAGGCCUCCUUCUAUCCUGUACCUGCCCCUCACCUGUGACUUUAUCCUACAUUGAUGCAGGUAUCUCACAACAAUCAAAUAAAACCAGAUGAAAUUGUAGUAAGGAAAAAAUAAAAGAUGGAAAAUGUAACUUUAAUUUUUUUUCAAACACCUAUUUUUAAUGAUGGUUCUUAAACAUUUUAACUUCCCUUACAGCCUACCAUCCACCAGAGGUAGUGAGAAAGAAAGGAAACAGGGGAAGUGGACCUGUUUAGAAAGGUUCCUUGGAGCAACUCCCCUCUGUGUUGUCUGGACCCUUCACAGACACACCAGCAGUUCAGUUUGGGUGAGUCGGGAUAGCAAACACAAAUCGGCACUGGCCAGCACUACCUAACAGAGACAGCCAGGUCUCAGCCUUGGUACAAGUCGACCAGGAGGAAUGCCAGGAGAAGUUCUCAGCUAUGCCUCUCUCAAAGGGAAGAUCAGCAAAGAAGGGAGACCAACAAGGGCUGCACAGCCAGCUCUGUAAACAAGCCCAGCUCCACCUCUGUCUUUGUCCUAUUUAGACUCUCUCCAAACAUCUCAUGUCCUCCACGUGUCUUGCCUCAGCUGACAUCACUCCGCCAAUCAGCUCAAGUCUAAGGAAGCAGCAAGAAACUGAUUUUCUCUCUAUGGAGUCCCAACAAAUGCAGCUCAGGUACAUAACGUAAGGCAGACCAACAUAGGUGUGUGGUUAGCAAAGAAUCCUUCACCACAUGUCCCUUCACAUGUUUGCUUUAGCAGAUCAUCCUCUGACCUGUGUCUGCUUCAGCUCAACAUUCCUUCACAUGUCUACCCUAAAAAAACACCAUCCAACUGACUUUCCAAAGAACCUUAAGUUUCCACUUCAGGGAAAAUAACUUUUAAUAGAGUAAUACUUCUCAGUGUCUUCCCAAUAAUUCUUCCUAGUAUAGAAUUUCUCUUUGCUUACUUAUUUCAUUAGGCAAGCGCUAUACCGCUGAGCUAAAUCCCCAACCCCCUCCAGCUCUUCUCAUAUCCUCUCUGCUUCCCUACUUACCCAACUCCAUGCCAUUGCUCUGUCUCUCUCAAAGAGAGAGAGAGAGAGAGAGAGAGAGAGAGAGAGAGAGAGAGAGAGAGAGAAUCAAAACAAAAGCAAAAAUAUAAGACCUUUAAAAGUAAAAGGGGGGCUGGGGAUUUAGCUCAGUGGUAGAGCGCUUACCUAGGAAGCACAAGGCCCUGGGUUCGGUCCCCAGCUCCGAAAAAAAGAAAAAGUAAAAGGGAAAGGGGAACACAAACCAACAAAAAUGUGGAGCUCAUUUUGUGUUGGCGAGCUGCUACUCCUGGGCAUGGGUCCUGCCCUGGAGUAUGGCUGCUAUCUGCACUCUGCUCUCCUAAUGUGUAAGACACUAACUCUCAUUUAUUGGGAAGACAACCUAUUACAGGCUUGUGGGGUAUCUCUUAAGAACUCAGAGACCUGAGUUACAAUUGCAGAACAGCCAUUUACGCUGCUUUAUCAUCUGAAUGUACGUCAUCUCCCCUUUAAGAUGAGGGUUUGAAUGUUGGGUACACAGACGUGGGUACUUUGAUGGGGGUGGGGGUGGGGAUGUCCUUGAAACCGGAGAGAGGAAACAAGCUGGAGAAAGUAAGAAAAUGGACCUUGAAGGUGUAUACCCUGCCCACCUCUCUCUCUCUUCCUCCCCCUUCCCUCUCUUCCCUCUUUCCCUCCCUCUCUUUCCUAGGUGGCUAUAUAGCUCUCCUCCACCACACAUUCUAACAGCCACAGUGUUCAAGGGCAUGGGGCCAGUUAUCCACAUACUCACAGCUCAGAAACAAAACAAACCUCUUUCCUUUCAAGCUGCAAGGACAGGCAUUUUCAUCACAGUAAUAUGGAAAUGAAACCACAGAACUGAGAUUUCAGAAUUUUAAGUGGAGUUGAAUUGUGAGCCACUUAAGCAAAAUUUAUUUUCAAUAGCUAUGGUAAGCUUUCACCUCAUGAAAAUGCCCCUUAAAUUUAGGAAACACUGCAAAAUCUUAUUUUAAAAAUGGCACUUGGGGGGUUGGGGAUUUAGCUCAGUGGUAGAGCGCUUGCCUAGCAAGUGCAAGGCCCUGGGUUUAGUCCCCAGCUCCGAAAAAAAGAAAAGAAAAAAAUGGCACUUGGCGGGGCAAGGGGCACUUCAGGAGCAGAAUGAGUGUACAGUGAGGAUCUCAGUUCAAAUCUCCAAAGUCGACAAAACAAGUAUGGUAGCAUCUGUCUACAAUCUCAGGGACAUGGGAGUGCAGACAGGAAAAUCCCUGGACAUUUGAUGUGAGGUAGCCUGACAUAUGCAGAGACUAACAACAAGACACCCUGUCUCAGGCAAAGUGAAAGUCAAGAUUGAUACCAGAGGUUGUCUGAUAACCUCCACACACACUCUGGCCUAUAUAUGACUGUACUCAUACACAGGAACACAGGCACACGCACACACGCACAUGCACACAUGCACACUAUUUUUAAAAAUUAUAAAAGCCAUUUGCUACUGAUGACUCAAGUAAUUCAUUUUCUCCAAAAAAUUACAUGUGUACAUAUUUGGUUUCGCUUUUAAUAAAAGAGUGAUAAACAAAGCAACAGAUAUAACUAUUACAUUGCCUGCUGCUUUCACCAUGGUCUACCUACUACAUCUUUGAAAAAUAGGGUUGGGGAUUUAGCUCAGUGGUAGAGCGCUUGCCUAGCAAGCGCAAGGCCCUGAGUUCGGUCUCCAGCUCCAAAAAAAAAAAAAAAAAAAAAAAAAAAAAAAAAAGAAAAAUAAUUUUUAAUGUAUACACACACACACACACAUAUAUAUAUAUAUAUAUACAGAGAGAGUAUAGUGUGUGUAUGUGCACACUCAUGUGUGCAUGCAUGUGUGUGAAGGGUGAGUGCUGUGCUCAUGGAUAGCCUGUGGCAUGGUGGGGCUCACUGAAAGAUAAGAGAAAUCCAAGAAUAAGGAUUAUUGGAAUUUAAAAUAUGAUGUUGAAACAAAUCAGUCCUUAGAAGAGAUAGAAGUGGUGCCAACAUUCUGGGAAACAGUUUGGCAGUUUUAUAAAAAGUUAAACACUCCACCUACUAUAUAAUCUUGUCAUUCUUUGUCUAGACAUUUAGCCAAGAAAAAACCAUAUGCCCAUGCAGAGACUUGUACGUGAGUAUUCAGAGCUGUCUUAGAGAUUGUCCUGAAUAGCAAACGGUCCACGUGCCCACCAAGUGACUGGAUAAGCAACCAGGGAAUGCAGUGGAAGCAUUUGACAGAAGGAACUUCUGGUCCAACCAGCAUGAUGCACCUCAGGAAAACUGUGCUAAGAGAAAUGAGGCAGGAAAGAAAAUAAUUUCUCAUAAGAAGAGAAAAAACACAAACUACGCAAACCAUGGUGAAAGCGAGUCGUCUAUGGUCUUUAGGGGAAGAAGUAAGCAGGACUAGGGCACAGAAUACAAGUUACUAAAGGACAAACAUGUUUGGGGGAAGGAAGUGUGUGGGAUGGUUUGGAUGAGAUCAGCCCCCACAGGCUCACAUAGUUAAAUGUUGGGGCUUCAGUUGGUGGAAUUGUUUGGGAAAGGUUAGGAGGAAUGACUUUGUUGAAUUAGGUGUGGCCUUGUUGGGAGGAAGUAUGUCACUGGUCAGUGGGCUUUAAGGUUUCAAAACCCCAUGCCAGCGCCAGUCUCUCUGUCUCUAUCCUCUCUCUGUUUCUGUUUCUGUCUCUUUGUCUUUGUCUCUCUCUCCUCUCUCUGUCUAUCUAUGUCUCUCUUCUGUUCUCUCUCUCCCUCUCCCUGCCUCUCUCUCUCUGCCUGCUGCCUGUGGAUCAAAGCUACACCUCUCAGCCCUCUACUUGCCUGCCCGUUGCCACACUUCCUGUCAUGAUGAUUAUGGACUAACACUGAAAAUUUAAGUAAGCCCCCAAAUAAAUGCUUUCUUUUGAAAGAGUUGCCUUGGCAAUGGCUUCUCUUCCCAAUAAUGAGGAACUAAGACAGAAAUUGGUAUCAGAAGUGGGGUGUUGCUGCGACAGACUGGACCAUGUUGUUUUGGAGACAAUUGUGGAAGGACUUUGGAACAUUAAGCUGGUAACGCCACUGAGUAUUGUGAGCUCAAUGGGAGGUUCUGUGUGAGCUUAGAAAUAAGAAUGUUGAGAGCAGUGCAUACAAUGGAGGCCUAUCUUCUGAAGCCACAGAGGGAAACAAAGACUUUAUCAGGCCAUUUGUAGGAAGAAUAUGUGGUGUCUGGUCAGCUGGAACUGAAGAUUCAGUUGUGAUUAGGAAGAGACCAGAACCACUAAAGUAAAACCUUUGCUCUUGGAGUCAAUGGAUGCUGGUCAACCGGCACUGAAGAAUCAACUGUGAUUAAGAAGAGACCAGCAUCGUUGAGUUGAAGUCUUCUGAUGUGAAUUAGAACCUCUGGAGCUGAGACUUGAGGAUCCAGGUUCUUAAGGACAAUCCAGGUGCUGUGAUGGGAAGAUGGCGUACGCCCUGUGAUUUUUAAAUAUAAUUGGGAGGAGAUCUGUAUUGCCUAAAGAGCAUAAUCCUCACAACGAUCCUCGUAUAGUUUAAGCUUAGGUACCACUCCGUGAAGAUCCACUUAAAGGGAUGUAACAUCAGUGCUGUGAGCAGAGACAGACAUAACCUAGGAACUCCAUGGCCAACCAGCCUAGCCAAAGCUGCAAGCUUCAGGGAAGAGACACGUGAACAUUCACUGUGGUGAAAAUUAUUAAAACUAUAACUAAAAAUAAAAUAAAGCAGGGCAAAAUAAAAACAUUUGUGAAGGUAUAUGUUCUAAAAGAAAGGAAGGAAGGAAGGAAAGAAGGAAGGAAGGAAGGAAGAAAAUGAACCCGGCUUCUUUUGCAUCCUUUCUCAGUAGCUGUUCAAUAAUGAUCUCUUUCCAACACAGUAAGGGAAUCCAAUAGGAAAGACAGACUUUAGAAAACAGGUACUCAAUGUACAAGAGAAACCUUUGGGGACCUGACAGUGAUAACAGAGGAAGAACCAGGGACAUCUGUUAGACAACAAGCCUGAAAGGCAGAAUUCUGGGACUAAUCAGGAGGCCCCACAAAAAAGAAGUCAUGGGGCUGACUGGGGCAGACAGUGAUAGGACAUGCCUGGACACUUUAAUGAGGCAUUUAAACACUGAGUAGUGGUGGUCACACAUAUGAGAAAAGUUCUUAAAGUUAUAUUUUAGAUUUAUUGCUUUUCCGUGUGUGAGUGUUUCGCCUGCAUAUGCACCACAUUCCUCCCCACAGAGGUCAGAAAAGGGGAUCCAACUUCUUGGAACUAGAGUUCUGAAUUUGUGUCCUGGUAAUUGAACCUUGGUCUUCUGCAAAAGCAGCAAGUGCUCUUAACCAUCACUAAACCCAUCUCUUCAACCCCUGUAAGAAUAUUUUUUUAAAGAAAGUAAAAAUACAAGACACCAACUGACUUCUGUUUGAAGGAAAGGAAAUGCCAUCAUGAAUUACAACAUUGUGCAUAUUGAAUAUUGAAUACUGACCUAACCAAAGCACAAUUCAGUGUUUUAAGGAGGAUAACUGUGUGUGUGUGCAUGUGUGUGUGUGUGUGUGUGUGUGUGUGUGUGUGUGUGUGUGAGAGAGAGAGAGGGGGGGGGGUUAAGGAGGACGGUCCCCAUCACAGGUAAAACAGAUUAUGACCAAAUCUGAAAAUUCAAGCAGCAAUACAAGUGUUAUUCCAAGUUACAGAGUAAAUACCAACAUGACCAGGUAAGCAAGCAGCAUGGCGGCCCUUGGGAGAGAGAAAACAGGGCUAGGAAAGAAUGAUACUAUGUGAUUGUUUGAAUAGCAAAGCUGUUUCUUUCUUAAACUCUGUGCAUAUGUAAAUUUGAUUCUUCUUAAAAGAGGGGAUCUGUUGGCCUGAGUGUCUGAAAUGCACAAGCUGAGAUGAUCUCACACUUCGUGUGUCAGAAUUUCCACUCUCAGGAAACAAAGCCAAGGCAAUACUAGAAAGGCAAGAGAGGUUUGUGUAGUGAGUAGAUCCCCUGUGAAAAGGGAAAGGAGAAGAGAGGCUGUGGGGAAGACCUCCAUUUCAGUGCAGGGCUGGCCUCCUGAAGGGAAAGAAAAGUGCCUCAGCUGGUAGCUGAACAAAGAUGGAGAGAUGCCCAGCUCCUCCUCACCAUUCCACAGUCACCAUCCUCUCUCUGUCCUGGUCUCUCCCUACAGGCAGCAUUUCCUGUCUUGAACAGGUCUAUUUGUCCUCCAACAGCACCAUGAUACACACUGUCUCUCUUCUCGAGAGGAAAAAUAAAGGAAGAUUUCAAUGGAGUGAACUGUAGCACCCAUGUCCACCAUGAAUCAGAGGGUGUAAACUGGCAGCUCCAUCCUUUCUCUGUACUGUCUGUUCCAAAUUUUACACGCUGAGCUCUUACUUGGCUUACUGGUCUCAGUGUCCUACCUGGUGGUUUGGCCAAACCUACAUUUCUCAGGAACCUGAAACCCUGAUUCAGACUAAAGUGGCUUCUCUUUUCCACAUAGUCACAGGAAAAACAAGAUGGUCCCAAGGUCCACAGCUCCCUUUUGGAUUAAGACUCCCUUGGCAGUCUCUACAAGUUUACAAUAUGGUGACUGUUUUCCUUGGGCUCUAGCACUUAGGGGUCAACAGCAGGUCUUUGCAUUUCAGAGUCCAGUUAUCUCACUGCCUCUGAUGAACAUAACUCUGUGACUGCAUCUCCCGGCCGACAGAGGAGAGCCUACAUGACGUGUGUAGGUGUGCUAGGGUUCCUAAGCCACACGUUCCUUAAAGUCUGGCAAAUGAUGAGGCUUUCAGACCCUCCUUUCUGCUGAGCCUAUCCCCACAGCCCAUCUUCCUGAGCUUUGAGCCCCUCUGCUGCCAUCUGACUUAACCCCUCAGGUGUUCCCCCAUGCCUAGUGUGAACAGUUCCUCCCUAUGGGUUUCUGAAAGCCACCCUGGAGACAAAUCCCUGAACUAAAGAAGCCCUGAUUGUUUGGCUUUUUUUUUUUUCUAGCUUCUCUGAUCAGGUACCUCGGUCCCUGCCAGCACUUUCUAGAUAAUUCCUACAGCUUUUUUGGGACACGAUCUCUUUAUUUCAUGAGGGUUUUUUUUUUAUGUUUGUCAGACAUGGGCUUACUCUGCAUUCUAUGCUGACCUGGAAUCUGUGUCAAUACUCCUGUCUCAACAUCCUGAAUAGGGUAACAGAUGGGAAUCACCAUACCUAGAUAUUUUUCAAGUAUGAUAUGUCUCUAGCUGGGCAUGUAAGAUUUAAGCCAAGAGAGCAGCUUUCUUAGGGGACAGUACCUCUUCCCUUGUUAGAGGAAGGACUCUGAUCGCUAUUCCUAUCCUGAGGGCCUGAUGUUUGCCCCUAAAAGCUGAGGUCAGCUCCUGUAGCAGACCCGACUCAGUUCUCUUCAUGAGGUUCUUCUGAUGACAGUAUUCCUCUUAAAGUUCUGCCCAUGAACCUACUCAGUCACAUACCUUUUCUAAGAAGGAAAUUCUUUUAAACAUAAAAAAAAUGUAUGCGUGGGCUUAGCAAUGGUCAGUGUAAAGGACGGAGUCAUAUUCUGUGUUGACCUAGAACUUUCCAGUUUCCCACAUGCUGUCAUCACACAGCACAGCUGGCACAUCCUGAAAAGAAUAUCUUCAUCUCCCUUCCUUGGCAAUUUAUACCGUGACUCCGAGAGACGCAAGCGUGUCUGUGCCAAGCAUCCCUUCCCUUCUCUGCUGAUUUUCACAACUCUCUAGCAAAUAUGCAUAUAAAUAGAAGGCCUACGAAUAAGAUGUUUGCCGUAGAAAUAAUGAACCGAAAGAACCCCACUGUGCAGUCUCAGGGGAUCCUGACAAUCUGUCUUCCGAAUGUGGGCAGAGCGUUCUAAGUCAAGAAUAAAAUAUUAGACAAGCUCUACGCUGCAUUACUGGCUCUGCAUCCCAGGACUUAAAUUGCUCUGUGCUUUCCAGUGACAGGGACCUAAAGACGACAGCAUACCACAAAGCUUCCUACUGGCCAGAGUCUCUCUACUGCCUACACCUUGUGGAGACGGGCUCUGAAGCUUCAUUUUAAGUUGGAUAUAUUAACGGUCAUCAUUGUAGGUAGUCAGAGCAGGAAUUCAAGCGGGAGCAAAGGCAGGAACCAUGGAGGAGUGCUGCUUACUGGCCUACUCUCCAUGGAUUGCUCAGCUUGCUUUCUUAUACAAUUCAGGAUCACCUGCCCAGGGCAGGUACUGCCCACAGUGGGAUGGAGCCUCCCAUAUCAAUCAUUAACCAAGAAAAAUGCCCCAACAGGCUUGUCUACAUGCCAAUCUGACAGAGGUAGUUUCUCAAAUGAGGUUCCCUUCCCCUAGGUGACUCUAGUUCGUGUUAAGUUGGCAAAAACUGACAAGCACAAUCUAUAAUAGAACGGAAUGAAUUAUUAUUUCAAAAACUACUUGCAGCUGAGCAGUGGUGGUAUAACCUUGAAUCCCAGCACUUGAGAGGCAGAAGCAGACAGACAUCUGAGUUUGAGGCCAGUCUGGUCUACAGAAUGAAUUCCAGGACAGCCAGGGCUAUACAGAAAAACCCUGUCUUAAAAAG